rnacentral:rRNA from 1 species
CGGACGGGUGAGUAACACGUAAGGACCUGCCUCUAGGACGGGGACAACAGUUGGAAACGGCUGCUAAUCCCGGAUAAGCGGAAAGGUGAAAGAUUUAUCGCCGAGAGAGGGGCUUGCGUCUGAUUAGCUAGUUGGUAGGGUAAGAGCCUACCAAGGCGACGAUCAGUAGCUGGUCUGAGAGGAUGAUCAGCCACACUGGGACUGAGACACGGCCCAGACUCCUACGGGAGGCAGCAGUGGGGAAUUUUCCGCAAUGGGCGAAAGCAUGACGGAGCAAGACCGCGUGGGGGAGGAAGGUUCUUGGAUUGUCAACCCCUUUUCUCAGGGAAGAAGAAAGUGACGGUACCUGAGGAAGAAGCAUCGGCUAACUCCGUGCCAGCAGCCGCGGUAAUACGGGGGAUGCAAGCGUUAUCCGGAAUGAUUGGGCGUAAAGAGUCCGUAGGUGGCUCAUCAAGUCUGCUGUUAAAGAGCGAGGCUUAACUUCGUAAAAGCAGUGGAAACUGAAGAGCUAGAGUAUAGUAGGGGCAGAGGGAAUUCCUGGUGUAGCGGUGAAAUGCGUAGAGAUCAGGAAGAACACCGGUGGCGAAAGCGCUCUGCUGGGCUACAACUGACACUGAGGGACGAAAGCUAGGGGAGCGAAUGGGAUUAGAUACCCCUGUAGUC